AAGUCGUAACAAGGUUUCCGUAGGUGAACCUGCGGAAGGAUCAUUAUCGUAUCUCUGGCGGACCAGCGCGUCUCCCUGCUCCGGCCCACAAAGCCGUGCAGCGGGAGGCCGCCGGCCCGUCCAACCCUUUCAAACCCCACCGUGCACAUUUGCGGCGGAGGGUCGGCUCGCACUCGCUGCGGGUCGUCCCGAAGCCGCCUCACAAACCCCAAACGAACGAAAUUCUGCGGCCAAUGCGUCGCCUAACAAACGAAACAACUUUCAACAACGGAUCUCUUGGCUCUC
rnacentral:misc_RNA from 1 species